rnacentral:rRNA from 1 species
UACAUAGGGGGCGAGCGUUAUCCGGAUUUACUGGGCGUAAAGGGUGCGUAGGUGGUUAUAUAAGUCUGUGGUGUAAGUGCAGUGCUCAACGCUGUGAGGCUAUAGAAACUGUAUAACUAGAGUGAGACAGAGGCAAGUGGAAUUCCAUGUGUAGCGGUAAAAUGCGUAAAUAUAUGGAGGAACACCAGUGGCGAAGGCGGCUUGCUGGGUCUAAACUGACACUGAUGCACGAAAGCGUGGGGAGCAAACA